rnacentral:rRNA from 1 species
GUAGCUUGCUACUUUUGCCGGCGAGCGGCGGACGGGUGAGUAAUGCCUGGGGAUCUGCCCAGUCGAGGGGGAUAACUACUGGAAACGGUAGCUAAUACCGCAUACGCCCUACGGGGGAAAGCAGGGGACCUUCGGGCCUUGCGCGAUUGGAUGAACCCAGGUGGGAUUAGCUAGUUGGUGAGGUAAUGGCUCACCAAGGCGACGAUCCCUAGCUGGUCUGAGAGGAUGAUCAGCCACACUGGAACUGAGACACGGUCCAGACUCCUACGGGAGGCAGCAGUGGGGAAUAUUGCACAAUGGGGGAAACCCUGAUGCAGCCAUGCCGCGUGUGUGAAGAAGGCCUUCGGGUUGUAAAGCACU